AUGAUGGCAAAGUCCGCAGUGACGCCUCUCUGCUGGUUCAACACACACUUACUGAGCUCUAACGCGGGGCGGGGGGGAAGAGGGGGGCUAUCAGAGGCGGCGCUUGCUGCCUCAUUCUUAGAGCAAGCCUGGUUUCACAGCCCCUCCUGCUUCCACAAGGGCUUUUUCCACAGCAACGUGCAGGCCUGUGUCUCCUCUCCUGCCUGUUCACGGGAGCGCAGGAAUCCCACGUGCAGGCCACACCUCCAGGAUUGGAGAUUGCUUUUCAACAUGAGAUUUGGAUGUGGACACAGAUCCAAACUACAUCACCUACCUCAAGAUGGAGUUUCACUCUUGUCGCUCAGGUCUGAGUGCAAUGGUGUGUUCCCGGCUCACUGCAACCUCCGCCUCCCGGGUUCAAGUGAUUCUCCUCCCUCAACCUCCUGAGUAGCUGGGAUUACAGGUGCCCGCCACCAUACCCAGCUAAUUGUUUUGUAUUUUUAAGUAGAGACGUGGUUUCACCAUGUUAGGCAGGCUGCUCUUGAACUCCUGACCGCAGGUGAUCCACCCGCUUCAGCCUCCCAAAGUGCUUGGAUUACAGACAACCUCCCAAAGUGCUGGGAUUAAAGGUGUGACCCACCGGCCCGGUCAGCCUUCAUUUAUCUUACCUAGGUUUUUACUGUUUGGUUUGCUGGUUGAUGUUUUUUUUUAUUUAAUUUUCUUUUAGAGAUGGGGAUCUUGCUACAUUGCCUAGGCAGGUCUUGAACACCUGGGCUCAGGCUUAAGACAUCUCUGUCCUCGGACUCCCAAAGUGCUAAUUACAGGCGUGAUCCUCUGUGCUAGACUGGUUUGCUAGUUUAAAUGACAUGCUUUAACUUUCAGCUUUGACCUGUGCUUAGUUAUUAAGCUUAUUCUUCUAUAUUUCUUCUAUUUCUUCUUUGUUCCCAGUUUUAAGUGUAUUUCUACUUUGUCAGAGAACAUUCAUCAGCUCUUAUUCUUAUAUUUGUUUUGGUCUUAGAUUUAUGUAAUUGAACAUAUUCAAUUCUUAAGAUCUGUUUUCUCGGCCAAAGUUUUUCAAUCAUCUUUUAAUUGGAUGAAACUUGACCCCUAGAAGAAUCCUCAGAAAGAAU
rnacentral:lncRNA from 1 species